GCUAAAGUUCGCUGUUCUUGAACACUGAAUUAAGUUUGUUUGGUUGUCGUUAAAAAUCUGCGGCUCAUCGCCGACUGAUAUAAAAGAAGUAAUAUCGGCCGAUUAAUCGGAACAUCUUCUGUGUACUUCACGCAUUCAGCGUUAUUAUCAUCACAUUUCCUGUUGCUCCAGAGUGAUCAGUCACGUGACAUUUAGACUCGGGUGAUUUCUAAUCAAUCAGGCGAUUCGUACUGAAAUGGUCCUGUGCAUAUGUUUCCCUCCCAUUGGCUCUGGGUUCGACCCUGCUACCGGCACAACACACACCAUUCUGAAUAAAAGGACGCUUUCACCCCGUCUGUUCCACCCUGUCUGCACACACACGGCUGAGGAGAGAUCAGCACAGAGAGAGCCAGAGAUGCAUGCACAGGAUCAUCUUUGCCUCAAGUUUCCUCCACAAGAGAGAUGGUCCUCCUGAUGUGGCUUGGGCUUGGGAUCAAGGAUCCAUCCUCGACGGAUUUCAAACAAUCUUUCAUCAUUUAGCUGCAUCACUCGCCAGACUAAACCUACAAUAAAGAUUAGAUCCUUGCCCUACUUGGAGGACUGAUUCAAUUCCCACUCGGGAUAAUGCAGGAAACUUCCACACUCAAGUUCUGUUUCGGGUUUAAGGAACUCUUCAUCAAACCCAGGAAUUAAUGCUAAUGGCUGUAGAUGACUUUGUUGCUUACAGUUGGCACAAAGAGUCGACAGUCUCCUACGAGUUCUAGGAGUCCAGAAUCCACUAGAUACACAAGUUGAGCGGUGUAUGUACACUCUCUGGCUUCUUCGUCUUAUCUUCCUCCAGUGUUCAACCUUCGGUCAAAGUAGCUCUUUGGUAAUUUGAGGACUCAAGAUGUGUUGCAAGCAAAGAAACCAAGAAUUAAGCUGCACCAGAAUUCGAACUCCAUUGAGAAAGAAACCCAUUCAAAUUCUGACAUCGAACACGUGGUUUGUUGUGGUUGGUUGUUAUUCUGGGGUUUCUUCAUUCAUUUUUGGACCUACAUUACAUCUUUACCACAGCUACAGUUUUCUUGUGGGGGCCUUGGUGCAUCACAAUUGGAGGUAGUUUAUGAAUCCGAUCUUCAGACGUGCAAUCUUUCAUUUACAAAUAGAGACCUGUAAGCAUUAAACCUCACUACACCAAUCCACAA